rnacentral:rRNA from 1 species
CCUACGGGAGGCUGCAGUGAGGAAUAUUGGUCAAUGGGCGAGAGCCUGAACCAGCCAAGUCGCGUGAGGGAGUACUGCCCUAUGGGUUGUAAACCUCUUUUGUCGGGGAGCAAAAGCCGGACGUGUCCGGCUGUGAGAGUACCCGAAGAAAAAGCAUCGGCUAACUCCGUGCCAGCAGCCGCGGUAAUACGGAGGAUGCGAGCGUUAUCCGGAUUUAUUGGGUUUAAAGGGUGCGCAGGGGGAUUUUAAAGUCAGCGGUCAAAUCGUGGGGCUAAACCCCAUCCAGCCGUUGAAACUGGGGGGCUGGAGUGUGCGAGAGGUAUGCGGAAUGCGUGGUGUAGCGGUGAAAUGCGUAGAUAUCACGCAGAACCCCGAUUGCGAAGGCGGCAUACCGGUGCACAACUGACGCUGAGGCACGAAGGCGUGGGUAGCGAACAGGAUUAGAUACCCGGGUAGUC